rfam:Rattus norvegicus chromosome 10, whole genome shotgun sequence.
GGGGAUUUAGCUCAGUGGUAGAGCGCUUGCCUAGCAAGUACAAGGCCCUGGGUUCAGUCCUCA